rnacentral:rRNA from 1 species
AUUGAACGCUGGCGGCAGGCCUAACACAUGCAAGUCGAACGAGUGGCGGACGGGUGAGUAAUGUCUGGGAAACUGCCUGAUGGAGGGGGAUAACUACUGGAAACGGUAGCUAAUACCGCAUACCAUCAGAUGUGCCCAGAUGGGAUUAGCUAGUGGGUGGGGUAAAGGCUCACCAAGGCGACGAUCCCUAGCUGGUCUGAGAGGAUGACCAGCCACACUGGAACGGAGAAACGGUCCGGACUCCUACGGGAGGCAGCAGUGGGGAAUAUUGAACAAUGGGCGCAAGCCUGAUGCAGCCAUGCCGCGUGUAUGAAGAAGGCCUUCGGGUUGUAAAGUACUUUCAGCGAGGAAGCGUUACCCGCAGAAGAAGCACCGGCUAACUCCGUGCCAGCAGCCGCGGUAAUAC